GGAUGUGAGGGCCGAUCUGGCUGCGACACCUUCACCCACUGAUCGCCAGGGUUGAUUCCGCUGAUAUGGCUGGCCAGGUGGGUGUCCCCUUUCUCCCUCACCGCUCCAUGUGCGUCCCUCCGGAAGUUGCGUGCUCAGUGGAAGAGGACGACCUUCCCCGGUAGAGGACGACUACUCUUUGGUCAAGGGUAUACAAGUAGCUGCGCUCCCCUGCUAGAACCUCCAAACAAGCUCUCAAGGUCCAUUUGCAGGAAAAUGUAAAGUAGUCAAGUUUCCAAGACUUCAGACACAUCCAAAUGAGGCGCUGCACACGGCAGUCUGCCUUUCUUU
ensembl:misc_RNA 7SK 7SK RNA